GUAGGUGGGCAAGCGUUGUCCCGGGAAGUUAUUGGGGCGUAAAGCGCGCGCAGGGUGGUUCUUUAAGUCUGAUGUGAAAAGACCCCCCGGGCUCAACCCGGGGAGGGUCAUUGGAAACUGGGGGAACUUGAGUGCAGGAGAGGAAAGUGGAAUUCCACGUGUAGCGGUGAAAUGCGUAGAUAUGUGGAGGAACACCAGUGGCGAAGGCGACUUUCUGGCCUGUAACUGACACUGAGGCGCGAAAGCGUGGGGAGCAAACAGGAUUAGAUACCCUGGUAGUCCACGCCGUAAACGAUGAGUGCUAAGUGUGGGGGGUUUCCGCCCCUCAGUGCUGCAGCUAACGCAUUAAGCACUCCGCCUGGGGAGUACGGUCGCAAAGACUG
rnacentral:rRNA from 1 species